CCUACGGGAGGCAGCAGUGGGGAAUUUUGGACAAUGGGGGAAACCCUGAUCCAGCCAUGCCGCGUGAGUGAAGAAGGCCUUCGGGUUGUAAAGCUCUUUCAGCCGGAACGAAACGGUCACGGUUAAUACCCGUGACUACUGACGUACC
rnacentral:rRNA from 1 species